CCUACGGGUGGCAGCAGUGAGGAAUAUUGGUCAAUGGGCGGGAGCCUGAACCAGCCAAGCCGCGUGAGGGAAGAAGGUACAGCGUAUCGUAAACCUCUUUUGUCAGGGAACAAAGGCGGGGACUAGUCCCCGUAUGAGUGUACCUGAAGAAAAAGCAUCGGCUAACUCCGUGCCAGCAGCCGCGGUAAUACGGAGGAUGUGAGCGUUAUCCGGAUUUAUUGGGUUUAAAGGGUGCGCAGGGGGCCUGUUAAGUCAGCGGUAAAAGCCCGGGGCUCAACCCCGGCGGGCCGUUGAGACUGGCGGGCUGGAGUUGGAGAGAGGUACGCGGAAUGCGUGGUGUAGCGGUGAAAUGCUUAGAUAGCGCGCAGAACCCCGAUUGCGAAGGCAGCGUACUGGCUCCACACUGACGCUGAGGCACGAAAGCGUGGGUAUCGAACAGGAUUAGAUACCCUUGUAGUC
rnacentral:rRNA from 1 species